CAGACAUACUAUGAGAGAGAGAGAGAGAGAGAGAGAGAGAGAGAGAGGAGAGAGAUGGGUAAGCAGAAAGAAUGGGAAGAUAGUUGAAGAGAAACUGUGACAAGAAAGAGUAUGAGUGGGUAAGAGGAGGAGAAGGAAGAAGAAAGAAAGAAAAAAAGGAGUUUAAGGGGGAAGGAAAAAGAAGGGGAGACCAGAGGAUGAGAAAGAUAUUAGAGAAAAGAGGGAGCAGAGAGAGAGGGAGAGGGAGAUGGGGGAAGAGAGGGAAGGAGAGAGGAACAGAGAGAGAAAAUGUAACAGGACUCAGUGAAUUCAAGUGACUAGAUCUCCAUGAGCUCUAUUUUCUGGGUAAUGAAAGAAUAGGAAGAUGGAACAGCCAAGUCAUUGCCAGCCAAGGGUAGAUCAGUGCAAGACUUUGGUUACUGAAAGAAGAAUAGGAAGAAUGUACAGCCAAGGCACUACCAGUGAGGGAUGAAUCAGUGAAGCCACUUGGGAAUUGAAAUAAUAGGAAGAUGGAACAGCCAAGUAAUUGCCAGCCAGGGAUGGAUUAGUGCAAGGCUUUGGUUACUGAAAGAAAAGGCAGAAUGUACAGCCAAGGCACUACCAGUGAGGGAUGGAUCAGUGAAGCCACUUGGGUAAUGAAAGAAUAGGAAGAUGGAACAGCCAAGUCAUUGCCAGCAAUAAGUGGAUCAGUGCAAGGCUUUGGUUACUGAAAAAAGAAUAGGAAGAAAGGACAACCAUGGCAUUACCAGUGAGGGAUGGAUCAGUGAAGCCACUUGGGUAAUGAAAGAAUAGGAAGAUGGAACAGCCAAGUCAUUGCCAGCAAGGAGUGGAUCAGUGCAAGGCUUUGAUGAGUCGGAAAGGGGGCCCUCCACUACAGUACUUUACCUGGCCCAUUUUUCCUUAAAAGAAGAAUAUAAAAGAGUAGAAUCAUUAUAAAAUAGGGGGAUUUAUUUGUUUUUGUACCAAGGUUCUGGGACACCUUUAUCCAGGGGCCAAAAGGAGGGUAAGCAUCCUUAGCUUCAUUAAGCAGAUGUCAGACCAGAAGCCCCCCCUGACUUCCUGCAGGUCCUUACUAAUGUCUCAUCUUCUACAGGAAGUUUGUAUCAAUCCCUGUGAUUAUCCAUCAUCAGUUUUAUAUCCUAUGCAACUUUACUGUUUUUAUGCCAUUAUAGAAGACAUUUGUACUGGGGAGUGGGGCAGGACAGAGACCAUUGGGAGGGAAGGAAAAGGGGAAAGUCAGUGGAGGAAGAGAGUUUAAGAAGAAGAGAGAGGGAGAAGGAGAGAGAGAGACAGAGAGCACCAGUGAUUUCUCAUCACCAGAUCUGAGAGAACUCUCUUCUCAGGUUACUGAAAGAAGAAUAGGAAGAAUGUACAGCCAAGGCACUACCAGUGAGGGAUGGAUCAGUGAAAGACCUUGGUGAGUGGGAAAGGGGGUGGUGUAUUGGAAUACUGGAAAUGGCCAUUUUCCCCUCUAAUGGAGAAGAAGGAAGAGUCUGUAUAUUAAAAACCAACUGGCUGGACUUCCCACUCCCUCAGGAUUCUAGAGCACAUAAAGGUAGUUAUGGAAACUACUGGUCACACAGGGUGGGUGAGCAUAGUGAGCUUCAACAUGCACAGGUCAUGACAGAGAAGCUCUGCCUUUCCAGGUCCUGCUAUUAUAUUCUGAAGUUUUCAUACUUGUGAUUAUUAAUCUUCAAUCUUAUAAUCUUUUCAACUUACUAUCUUUUUACAUUUUAGGAGACACUUGUAUGAGAGUGGAGGGGGGAAGAGGGAGGGAGAGACAGACAUACUAUCAGAGACAGAGAGAGAGAGAGUGGAGAGGAGAGAGCUGGGUAAGCAGAAAGAAGGGAAAGAUAGUAGAAGAGAAACUAUGACAAGAAAGAGUAUGAGUUGGGUAAGAGGAGGAGAAGGAAGAAGAAUGUAAGGCAGAGAAAUAGGUGUUUAAGGAUAGGGAAAAAGAAGUGGAGACCAGAGGAUAAGAGAGAUAGUAGAGAAAGGAGUGAACAGUGAGAGAGGGAGAGGGAGAAGGGGGGAAGAGAGGGAGGGAGAGAGGAACAAAGAGAGAAUCUAACAGGACUCAGUGAAUUCAAGUGACUAGAUCUCCAUGAGUUUCUCUUUUCAGGGUAUUGAAAGAAUCAGAAGAUGGAACAGCCAAGUUAUUGCCAGCCAGGGGUGGAUUAGUGCAAGACUUUAGUGAGUGGGAAAGGGGGCUCUCCACUAUAAUACUUCACCUGGCCCAUUUUUCCUAAAAGGAGAAGAUAGAAGAGUAAAGUCUUUAUAAAAAAGGGUGGUUGAUUUGUUUUUCUACAAAGGUUCUGGGACACCUUGAUCCAGGGGCCAAUAGGUGGGUGAGCAUCCUUAGUUUCAUUAAGAAGAGGUCAGACAAGAGUAUCCCUGUUGUCCCUGGCUUCCUUCAGGUCCCUACUAAAAUCUCAUCUACUACAGGAAGAUUGCAUCAAUCCCUGUGAUUAUCCAUCAUCAGUAUUAUAUCCUAUGCAACUUAACUGUCUUUGUGCCAUUAUAGAAGACAUUUGUACUGGGGAGUGGGGCAGGACAGACCAUUGGGAGGGAAAUAAAAGGGGAAAGACAGAGGAGGAAGAGAGGUCAAGAGGGAGAAUGAAAGAGAGAGAGAGACAGAGAGUACCAGUGAUUUCUCAUCACUAGAUAUGGGUGAAAUCUCUUCUUAGGUUACUGAAAGAAAAGGCAGAAUGUACAGCCAAGGCACUACCAGUGAGAGAUGAAUCAGUGAAGCCACUUGGUGAGUGGGAAAAGGGGUGGUGUAUUUGAAUACAACAAAUGGACAUUUUCCCUCAAAUGAAGAAGAAGGAAGAGUCUGGAUGUUAAAAACCAAUUAGCUGGACUUCCCACUCCCUCACAAUUCUAGAGCACAUAAAGGUAGUUAUGGAAACUACUGGUCACACAGGGUGGGUGAGCAUAGUGAGCUUCAUUGAUUACAGGUCAUGACAGACUAGCUCUGACCUUCUUGGCUUCAUUCAAGGGUAAUGAAAGAAUAGGAAGAUGGAACAGCCAAGUCAUUGCCAGCAAUAAGUGGAUCAGUGCAAGGCUUUGGUGAGUGGGAAAGGGGGACUUCCACUACAAUACUUCAGCUGGCCCAUUUUUCCUAAAAGGAGAAGAUAGAAGAGUAGAGUCUUUAUAAAUCUGGGGAACUGAUUUGUUUUUCUACCAAGAUUCAGGAACACUGUGAUCCAGGGGCCAAAAGGAGGGUGGGCAUCCUCAGCUUCAUUAAGGAGAGGCCACACCAGAGGGUCCCUGCCCUCCCUGACUUCCUUCAGAUCCCUAUUAAAAUCUCAUCUUGUACAGGAAGUUUGCAUCAUCCCUGUGAUUAUCCAUCAUCAGUGUUAUAUCCUAUGCAACUUAACUGUCUUUAUGUUAUUAUAGAAGACAUUUAUACUGGGGAGUGGGGCAGGACAGAGACCAUUGGGAGGGAAGGAAAAGGAAAGGCAGUGGAGGGAGAGAGUUUAAGAGGAAGAGAGAGGGAGAAGGAGAGAGAGACAGAGAGAGCACCAGUGAUUUCUCAUCACCAGAUCUGGGAGAACUCUCUUCUCAGGUUACUGAAAGAAUAGAAAGAAUGUACAGCCAAGGCACUACCAGUGAGGGAUGGAUCAGUGAAAGACCUUGGUGAGUGGGAAAAGGGGUUGGUGUUUUGGAAUACUGCAAAUAGUCAUUUUCCCCUCUAAUGGAGAAGAAGGAAGAGUCUGUAUAUUAAAAACUAACUGGCUGGACUUCCCUCUCACUCAGGAUUCUAGAGCACAUAAAGGUAGUUAUAGAAACUACUGGUCACACAGUGGAUGAGCAUAGUGAGCUUUAUUGAGUACAGGCCAUGACACACUAACCUGCCUUUCUUGGCCUCAUUCAAGUUCCUACUAUAAACAGAACUUCUACAGGAACAUUUCAUUCUUGUGAUUAUUAAUGCUCAGUGUUAUUAUCUACAUAGCUCAUUACAUUUGGGAGGAACAGACACACUCACACAGUCACACAGAGACAGAGAGAAUGGGGAGUUGAAGGGAGAAAGGAAAGAGGAAGACAGAAGGUAGGAGAAUGACAUAAAUAACAGCAGAGAAGGGGUAGCACGGAAACAGAAAAAGGAGGGAGAGUUAAAGAGAGAGACACACACAAAGAUUCUUUCAGGACUCAGUGAAUUCAAAUACUUAGUCCUGGGUGAGCAACCUUCUCAAAUUAAUGGAAGACUAGAAAAAUGGAUAGCAUGAAUCACUGCCAGCAAAGGAUGGUUCUCUGAAACACAAUCAGGAUAUGGGAAAAGGAAAGAAUGCUGCAAUGGGUCUCUUUUUGGCUAAAAAGGGGAAGAGGGACGAGUCUGGACAUUAUAAGCCAGUGACCUUGAUUUCUUUCUCUUCCAGGAAUCAAGAACACAUUCAACAAGUUAUAGAAGGCACAGAACUGAAAGGGAUCUGGGUGGGCAUAGUUAGCAUCAUUAAGCAGAAGUUAGACCAGAGUAUCCCUGCCCUCCCUGGCUCACUUCAGGUCCCUACUGAUCUUGGAAACAGGAAGUUUUCAUCCCUGUGAUUAUUAAUGAUUUGUGUUAUAUCCUAUGCAACUUAAUGGCCUUUGUGCCAUUAUAGGAGAUGUUCCCAUUUGAGUGGUGGGGAGAGAUGAAGAAAGAGCAUUGGUAGAGAAGGAGAAAGGAGGAAGCCAUUUGGGGGGGAGAGAAGUUGGGAGGAAGAAAAUAUGAGGGAGAAAGAAGAUGGAGGGAGAGGAGAAAACAGAGAGAGGGAGAGGGAAAAAGAGAGAGAAGGAAAGAGGGGAGAGGGAGAGAGAGGGAGAGGGCACGUACUUGGCAGUAUUUAAUGAAUUCUUAUCACCAGCCCUAGGUCAAGUCUCUUAGCAGGUUAAUGAAAGAAUACGUAGAAAGGACAGCCAUGGCACUACCAGUGAGGGAUGUAUCAGUGAAACAACUUGGUGAGUGGGAUAGGGGGCACAGGGCCAGAUAGAAUACUGCAAAUGGCCCAUUUGUCCUCAAAUGUGGAAGAAGGAAGAAUCUGGAUAUUAAGCCAAUUGGCUAGACUUCCCUCUCCCUCAGCAUUCUAGAGCACAUAAAGGUAGUUAUGGAAACUACUGGUCACACAGGGUGGUGGGUAGCAUAGUGAGCUUCAACAAGCAUAUUUCAUGACAGAUUGGUGGGUAGCAUAGUGAGCUUCAACAAGUACAUUUCAUGACAGACUAGCUCUGCCCUUAUUGGCUUCAUUCAGGGUCCUGCUAAAUUCAAGAAGUUUUCAUCCCUGUGAUUAUUAAUCUUCAAUCUUAUAAUCUAUUCAACUUACUAUCUUUUUACAUUGUAGGCAACACUUGUAUGAGAGUGGAGGGGGGAUGAGGGAGGGAGAGACAGAUAUACUGUCAGAGAGAGAGAGAGGCUGGGUAUGAGAGAGAUGGGUAAGUAGGAAGAGGGGAAGAUAGUGGAAGAGGAACUAUGACAAGAAAGGGUCUGAGUGGGUAAGAGGAGGAGAAGGAGGAAGAGAGAAAAAUAGGAGUUUAAGGUUGAGGGAAAGAGAAGGGGAGACCAGAGGGUAAGAGAGAUAGUAGAGAAAGGAGUGAGCAGUGAGAGAGGGAGAGGGAGAAGGGGUGAAGAGAGGAAGGGAGAGAGGAACAGAGAGAGAGAAUCCAACAAGACUCAGUGAAUUCAAGUGACUAGAUCUCCAUGAGCUCUCUUUUCAGGGUAAUGACAGAAUAGAAAGAUGGAAUAACCAAGUUAUUGACAGCCAGGGAUGGAGCAGUGAAAGACCUUGGUGAGUGGGAAAGGGGGCCCUCCACUACAAUACUUCACCUGAUCCAUUUUUCAUAAAAGGAGAAAUGGAAGAGUAGAGUCAUUUUAAAUCAGGAGGGCUGAUUUGUUUUUUCUACCAAGAUUCUGGGACACCUUGAUCCAGGGGCCAAAAGAAGGGUGAGCAACAUUAGCUUCAUUAAAUAGAGGUCAGACCAGAGGGUCCCUGCCCUCCCUGGCUUCCUUCAGGUCUCUACUGAUCUUCUACAGGAAGUUUUUUCAUCCCUGUGAUUAUCCAUCACCAGUGUUAUAUUCUAUGCAACUUAAUUGUCUUUGUGACAUUAUAGGAGACAUUGGCAUCUGAGUGGUGGUGAGAGAUAAACAAAAGGCAUUGGAAGUGAAGGGAGAAGGUGGAAGACAUUUAGGGGAAAGAAGUUAGGAGGAGGAGAGAGGGAGAGAGACAGAGACAGAGACAGAGAGAGACAGAGAGAGCACCAGUGAUUUCUCAUCACCAGACCUGGGUGAAGUCUCUUCUCGGGUUACUGAAAGAAGAAUAGGUAGAAUGUACAGCCAAGGCACUACCAGUGAGAGAUGAAUCAGUGAAGCCACUUGCUGAGUGGGAAAGGGGGUGGUGUAUUUGAAUACUACAAAUGGCCACUUUCCCUCAAAUGGAGAAGGAAGAAUCUGGAUAUUAAAAACCAACUGGCUGGACUUCCCUCUCACUCAGGAUUCUAGAGCACAUAAAGGUAGUUAUAGAAGCUACUGGUCACACAGGGUGGGUGAGCAUAGUGAGCUUCGUUGAUUACAGGUCAUGACAGAUUAACCUGCCCUUCUUGGCUUCAUUCAAGUUCCUGCUAAAAACAGAACUUCUACAGGAACAUUUCAUCCUUGUAAUUAUUAAUGCUCAGUGUUAUUAUCUUCCCAGCUUAUUACAUUUGGGAGGAACACACACACACACACACACACACACACACAGAAUGGGGGGUUGAAGGGAGAAAGAAAAGAGGAAGACAGAAAGGAGGAGAAUGACAUAAAAAACAGCAGAGAAAGGGUAGCACAGAAACAGAAAGGGAGGGAGAAUUAAAGAGAGAGACACACAGAGAAAGAUUCUUUCAGGACUCAGUGAAUUCAAAUACUUAGUCCUGGGUGAGCAACCUUCUCAAAUUAAUGGAAGACUAGAAAAAUGGAUAGCAUGAAUCACUGCCAGCAAAGGAUGGUUCUCUGAAACACAAUCAGGAUAUGGGAAAAGGAAAGAAUGCUGCAAUGGGUCUCUUUUUGGCUAAAAAGGGGAAGAGGGACGAGUCUGGACAUUAUAAGCCAGUGACCUUGAUUUCUUUCUCUUCCAGGAAUCAAGAACACAUUCAACAAGUUAUAGAAGGCACAGAACUGAAAGGGAUCUGGGUGGGCAUAGUUAGCUUCAUUAAGCAGAAGUCAGACCAGAGUAUCCCUGCCCUCCCUGGCUUCUUUCAGGUCCCUACUGAUCUUCGAAACAGCUUUCAUCCCUGAGGUUAUCAUUGAUUUGUGUUAUAUUCUAUGCAACUUAAUGGCCUUUGUGCCAUUAUAGGAGAUGUUCCCAUUUGAGUGGUGGGGAGAGAUGAAGAAAGAGCAUUGGUAGAGAAGGAGAAAAGGAGGAAGCCAUUUGGGGGAGAGAAGUUGGGAGGAAGAAAAUAUGAGGGAGAAAGAAGAUGGAGGGAGAGGAGAAAACAGAGAGAGGGAGAGAGAAAAAGAGAGAAGGAAAGAGAUGAGAAGAAAGAGGGGAGAGGGAGAGAGAGUGAGUGGGCACGCACUUGGCAGUAUUUAAUGAAUUCUUAUCACCAGACUUGGGUGAACUCUCUUCUCAGGGUACUGAAAGAAUAGACAUAAAGGACAGCCAUGGCACUACCAGUGAGGGAUGGAUCAGUGAAGCCACUUGAUGAGUGAGAAAGGGUUGGUGUAUUGUAAUACUGCAAGUGGCCCAUUUGUCCUCAAAUGUGGACGAAGGAAGAGUCUGGAUAUUAAGCCAAUUGGCUAGACUUCCCUCUCCCUCAGCAUUCUAGAGCACAUAAAGGUAGUUAUGGAAACUACUGGUCACACAGGGUGGGUGAGCAUAGUGAGGUUCAUUGAUUACAGGUCAUGACAGACUAGCUCUGCCUUUCUUGGCUUCAUUCAAGGUCCUGCUAAAUUCAGGAAGUUUUCAUUUUUGUGAUUAUAUUAACCUUCAGUCUUAUAAUCUAUUCAACUUACUAUCUUUUUACAUUGUAGGAGACACUUGUAUGAGAGUGGAGGAGGGAAGAGGGGGUGAGAGAGAGAGAGAGAGAGAGAGAGAGAGAGAGAGAGAGAGAGAGAGAGAGAGAGAGAAUAAUAGAGUUUGGUAAGCAGUAAGAAGGGGAAGAUAGUGGGAGAGAGACUAUGACAGGACAGAGUAUGAGUGGGUAAGUGGAGAAGGAACAAGAAAGAGAGGAGCAAGGAGUUUAAAUGAGAGGGAGAGAUAAACAAGAGCAAAAAAUAAGAAAGAAGUAGAGAAUAGAGGGAGAGAAAGAGAAUCUAACAGGACUCAGUGAAUUGAAAUUACUAGAUCUCCAUGAAUUCUCUUUUCAGGGUAAUGAAAGAAUAGAAAGAUGAACAGUCAAGUCAUUGCCAGCAGGGGUGGAUCAGUACAAGACUUUAGUGAGUGGGAAAUGGGGCCCUCCACUACAAUGCUUCCCAUGGCCCAUUUUUCAUAAAAGGAGAAAUGGAAGAGUAGAGUCAUUAUAAAUCAUGGUGGUUGAUUUUUUUUUACCAAGAUUCUGAAUACCUUGAUCUAGGGGCUAAAAGGAGGGUGAGCAUCCUUAGCUUCAUUAAACAGAGGUCAGGCCAGAGUAUCCCUGCCCUCCCUGGUUUACUUCAGGUCCCUACUAAAAUCUCAUCUUCUACAGGAAGUUUGCAUCAUCCCUGUGAUUAUCAGUGAUCAGUCUUAUAUCCUAUGCAACUUACUAUCUUUUUGCCAUUAGAGGAGAUAUUUGUAUUGGGGGGCACGUUACAAGAGAGAUCCUUGGUAUUGAAGGAAAAAAGGGGAAGACAGUGGAGGGAGAGAGGUUACGAGAAGAGAGGGAGAAGGAGAGGCAGGCAGAAAGAGAGAGCACCAGUGAUUUCUCACCACCAGACCUGGGUGAACUCUCUUCUUAGGUUACUGAAAGAAAAGGCAAAAUGUACACCCAAGGCACUACCAGUGAGGGAUGCAUCAGUGAAGCCACUUGGUCAGUGGGAAAGGGGUUGGUGUAUUUGAAUACUGCAAAUGGCUCAUUUUUCCUCAAAUGUGGAAGAAGGAAGAGUCUGGAUAUUAAACUUAUAGGCUGGGCUUUCCUCUCCUUCAGGAUUCUAGAGCACAUGAAGGUAGUUAUGGAAACUAUUGGUCACACCAAGAAGGUGAGCAUCAUGAGCUUCAUUAAGCACAGGUCUAACCCUUCCAUAGCUAGGUUCCUUCAAACCAUUGCUCAAAUAAGACCCACAGGAACUUUUGAUCAGUAUGAUUAUUAGUAGUCAGCAUUAUAAUCUAGUCAACAUACCCUCUUUUUGACCUCAUAUGACACAUGUGUAUGAGGGAAUUUGAGAGAGAGGGCAUGGGAAAGAGGAGAGGAGGAGGGAGUAGUGGAGAUAAUCAGUGGGAGAAAGAUUGGGGAAAGAAAGAGUAUUGGGGGGUGGAAAAGAAGAUGGGGGGGUGAAAGAGGCAUAAAGAUGUGGGUAGAAGAGAGAAAAUGUGACAAGGGGGGAGAGUAGGGGGAAAGAGGGAGACUAGAAAAAAGAGGGAAUAAUGAAAAACAAAGAAAGCUAGAGUGAGAAUAUAACAGGACUUAUUGAAUUCAAGUCACUUGUCCUGGUUGAGCUCCCUUCUCGGGUUAAUGGAAGAAUAGAAAGAUGGGACAACAAUAAUCAAUACCAUUGAGGGAUUUAGAAUUGAAACACCUUGCUGAAUGGGAAAGGAGGGGGCCCAGGGCAGGAAUAAAGCAAAUGGCUCAUUGUUGCUAAAAUUAGAAGUGGGGAGAAUUUGAAUAUUAUAAGCCAGUAAACUUGAUUUCUUUCUCUGCCAAGUUCCUUAUGAAGCAUUAAAUGGGUUCUACAUGGUAAUGGUCCCAAAUGAAGGAUGAACAGAGUUAUCUCCAUUAAGCACAAGUCAGACGAGAGUAUCCCUGCCCUCCCUGGCUUCCUCCAGAUCUCUACUAAAAUCUGAUCUUCUACAGGAAGCUUUAAGCCCUGUGUUAAUUCAUCAUUAGUAUUAGAUUUUAUGCAAUUUAGUACCUUUGUAACGCUGUAGGAGACAUUUGUAUGAAACUGGGGGAGAGAGAGAACAUUGGCAAGGAGGCAGAAGGAGGAAGAAAGUAAUGGCAGGGAGGUUGGGGAAGACAAAAGUAUGAGGGAGGAAGAAAUAGUGAGGGAGAGAAGAGGAAGGGUUGAAAGUUGAGUGAAGAAAGGGAGAGAGAAAGGAAGACCAGGGCAAAAGGGAGAGUAAAGAUGAAAAGGAGGAGUGGUGAGAGAAAGGCAAUGGGGAGAAUAUGAGGGAACUCAGUGAAUUCAAGUCACUAGGCCUUGGUGGACUCCCUUCUUAGGUUAAUGAAAGAAUCUGUAGAAUGCACAGCCAAGCCAAUGCUACCUUGGUGAGUGAGAAGGUGGGCCCUUAGAGGGAAUAAUGCAAAUUGAUUCUUGUUCCUAAAAAGAGAGGAAGAGGGAAAAGUCUGCUUAUUAUUAACUGAUGAACUUGUCCUCCUUUUCUCUCUGUCUCUCUCUCUUAGAACAUAUAAAAGGAAAUAUCAAGAAAAGGAGCUAUGGAAACUACUGGUCACACCAGCAUAGUGAGCAUAGUGAGCUUCAUUAAGCACAAGUCAUGACAGACUAGCCCUGCCCCCUCCCUCUAUUACUUUUAAGUCCCUUCUGAAAUCUCAAUUUCUACAGAAUGCUUUUAUUAGUGGUCUCAUCAUUCCUCAAUGUCGGUAUCUCUGCAACCUUUGUGACUUUAUAUGGAUCAUUUAUAUGAGAAGAAAGGGGAAGAGAGAGAGGGAGAAGGGGGGAAGAGAGAGGUAGAAGAGAAAGGGCAAAUAGAGAGGGAAGGCAAGUGGGAGAGAGACAGACAGAAAAGGAGAGGGAAGAAAGACGGAGAGAAGUAUAGAAGAGAGCUCCUGGAAGAGAUGGAGGGUGAAGGGAGAGCAAGGUAGGGAACAGAACAAGGGAGAAUAGGAGAAGAAAGGGAGGAAGAAAGGGAGAGGGAGAGUGGGGAAAAUGUGGUGGGGCAAGAGUAAGAUAGAAAAUAAAAAGGUACUAGAGAGAGGGAGAUAAAAAGGAAGAGGAGAAGGAAGAGAAAGGAGUAGAAGAGAGAAAAACAAAUAGAAAGAGGAAGUAAAAAAUUGGGGGAGGGAUUGUAAAGAGAAAGGAGUGAGAGAGAGAAGGCUGAAGAAGACAGAGCCAGGGAAAAUGAGAGCACCAGCAGGGAACAAUGAAUUUAAGUGUGAGCACUGUCUCAGGGUAGCUUCUACCUCCUUAACAUGGUUCUCAUCUAUUUUUUCUCCCACAGCCUUUAUGUUCCUGUUGCUGUCUCUUCCACUUCCCCUGCCUACAGAACUAGUAAAAUGUGUAGAAUAAUGUAGUAGUGAAGAUAGGAGAUGGUGACAGAAGAGAGACAGAGACAGAAAGAGAAAGAGACAGAGAGAAAGAGAAAGAGACCCAGAGGAGAGAGAGAGAGAGAGAGAGAGAGAGAGAGAGAGAGAGAGAGAGAGAGAGAGAGAGAGAGAGAGAGAGAACUUGACAGGACUCAGUGAAUUGAUAAUUGAUCUGAGUGAACUCUCUUCUGAGGUUAGUGAAUGAAUAGGCAGAAAGGACAGCCAAGUCACUGGCAUUGUGGGACUGAUGAGCACAACUCCCUGGAUACCUUUGGUGCAUAACUAAUGAAGAGAAGUCCAGAAGUUGUUCCAGCUCCAGAAUUACAAUGAUUAUAUGUCGGAGGGAAGAUGGGUCCAUUUGCCCCAACAUCAUUACCCCUCUGGAGGAAAAUUGGGCAAAGACUACCCUUCACUUCCAUCUGUUUUGCCAAAGUUUUCAGGAACAUCUUGCUUUCGACUAUGUGGACUUUGGCCCUCCCAUCUGGUAUUGAUGUCCUCUAGACUCCUAGUGCACACUGUUUCUGGCUUGUUAUUAGCUGUGAGCCCUCUAGAUGGCCUUGUCUGAGUGGUCUCUUCUGUUCUUUCUGCCUGCUCUUGUUUGGAACCCAAUUCAGUGCUUCUUCCUUCCUUCCUUAAUAAAAAGCAUGAUCUCCCUUGCUGUAA